AGAAUAUGUAAUGGUAUGUUUUCUGCCAAGGUCCAACUGAUAGACUUUUUCUAAUUCUGACAUUUCCAAUUUCUUUAAAUUCGGAUCCUGGUCUGAAACACCAAAAUGUUCUUUAAUAGAUGUUAUGCUUAGGUCGAAUUUCUCUCUAACUUGGUAAAAACAAGUUAUUAGAUGAUUACAAAUCAUUAAUGGGGAAAUCGAAUGGGAAAGCCAAUAUUCAGCAUCCAAGUCGGACAAGGCAUAAUGUCAUGCAGUCAGGGGCGUAGCUCUGGACCUGGCGGCAUUAGGCUGGAUUUCCUUGCAUAAAAAUUAUGACACCAAGCUAGCGAAUAUCGAAGACCGGGCCCGGCGCAACAA